UACGUAGGGUGCAAGCGUUGUCCGGAAUUAUUGGGCGUAAAGAGCUCGUAGGCGGUUUGUCGCGUCGAAUGUGAAAUCCCCGGGCUCAACCCGGGAACUGCGUCCGAUACUGGGAGGCUUGAAUCCGGGAGAGGGAUGUGGAAUUCCAGGUGUAGCGGUGAAAUGCGUAGAUAUCUGGAGGAACACCGGUGGCGAAGGCGGCAUCCUGGACCGGUAUUGACGCUGAGGCGCGAAAGCCAGGGGAGCAAACGGG
rnacentral:rRNA from 1 species